UACGAAGGGGGCUAGCGUUGCUCGGAAUCACUGGGCGUAAAGCGCACGUAGGCGGCUUUUUAAGUCAGAUGUGAAAUCCUGGAGCUCAACUCCAGAACUGCCUUUGAUACUGGAGAGCUUGAGUCCGGGAGAGGUGAGUGGAACUGCGAGUGUAGAGGUGAAAUUCGUAGAUAUUCGCAAGAACACCAGUGGCGAAGGCGGCUCACUGGCCCGGUACUGACGCUGAGGUGCGAAAGCGUGGGGAGCAAACAGG
rnacentral:rRNA from 1 species